rnacentral:rRNA from 1 species
CCUACGGGAGGCAGCAGUGGGGAAUAUUGCACAAUGGGGGGAACCCUGAUGCAGCGACGCCGCGUGAAGGAAGAAGUAUCUCGGUAUGUAAACUUCUAUCAGCAGGGAAGAAAGAGGACGGUACCUGACUAAGAAGCCCCGGCUAACUACGUGCCAGCAGCCGCGGUAAUACGUAGGGGGCGAGCGUUAUCCGGAUUUACUGGGUGUAAAGGGAGCGUAGACGGCCAUGCAAGCUCGGUGUGAAAGGUGCGGGCACAACCCGCAGACUGCACUGAGAACUGUAUGGCUGGAGUGCCGGAGGGGCAGGCGGAAUUCCUGGUGUAGCGGUGAAAUGCGUAGAUAUCAGGAGGAACACCGGUGGCGAAGGCGGCCUGCUGGACGGCGACUGACGUUGAGGCUC